UACGUAGGGUGCAAGCGUUGUCCGGAAUUAUUGGGCGUAAAGAGCUCGUAGGCGGUUUGUUGCGUCGGCUGUGAAAUCCCGAGGCUCAACCUCGGGUCUGCAGUCGAUACGAGCAAACUAGAGUGUUGCAGGGGAGACUGGAAUUCCUGGUGUAGCGGUGAAAUGCGCAGAUAUCAGGAGGAACACCGGUGGCGAAGGCAGCUUGCUGGGACGUUACUGACGCUAAGGCGCGAAAGCGUGGGGAGCGAACAGG
rnacentral:rRNA from 1 species